rnacentral:rRNA from 1 species
AACGAACGCUGGCGGCAUGCCUAACACAUGCAAGUCGAACGAGACCUUCGGGUCUAGUGGCGCACGGGUGCGUAACGCGUGGGAACCUGCCUUUAGGUUCGGAAUAACUCAGAGAAAUUUGAGCUAAUACCGGAUGAUGUCUUCGGACCAAAGAUUUAUCGCCUUUAGAUGGGCCCGCGUUGGAUUAGCUAGUUGGUGGGGUAAAGGCCUACCAAGGCGACGAUCCAUAGCUGGUCUGAGAGGAUGAUCAGCCACACUGGGACUGAGACACGGCCCAGACUCCUACGGGAGGGAGCAGUGGGGAAUAUUGGACAAUGGGCAAAAGCCUGAUCCAGCAAUGCCGCGUGAGUGAUGAAGGCCUUAGGGUUGUAAAGCUCUUUUACCCGAGAUGAUAAUGACAGUAUCGGGAGAAUAAGCUCCGGCUAACUCCGUG